UUGUAUUUCAGUUUGUACUAGAAAUAUUGC
rnacentral:piRNA from 1 species